rnacentral:rRNA from 1 species
CCUAAGACAUGCAAGUCGAACGAGAUGGCCAGUGAAGGUUGCGCGCUUGCACAAGACUGGAUCUGGAUCACCAUCUAGUGGCAGACGGGUGAGUAACACGUGGGUGACCUGCCUUUCGUUGGGGAUAACAGUUAGAAAUGAUUGCUAAUGCCGGAUGAAAUUGGGAACGAAAUUUCAUUCUUUAUUAAAAGGAGCCUUUAAAGCUUCGCUUGAAGAUGAGCCUGCGACGUAUUAGCUAGUUGGUGGGGGUAAGGGCCUACCAAGGCAACGAUGCGUAGCCGACCUGAGAGGGUGAUCGGCCACACUGGGACUGAGACACGGCCCAGACUCCUACGGGAGACAGCAGUUAGGAAUAUUCGUCAAUGGGGGAAACCCUGAACGAGCAAUGCCGCGUGAAGGAUGACGGUCCUAUGGAUUGUAAACUUCUGUUGUUAGGGAAGAACGACUAGUGUAGGAAAUGACACUAGAGUGACGGUACCUUUCAAGAAAGCUCCGGCUAACUACGUG